rnacentral:lncRNA from 1 species
UUUUUAUUUUUGAGUGUCUCUAUAAUCAUCUUUUCCCUUCAGAAGUUUAAAUUUAUUAGAAGGCAGAGAAUCUACAAGAUGAAGAAAAGUUCUGUAAGAAGAAUGUUUCCUUGGAAGGCAAACAUACCUUCAGAUGGAUCUGUCUUAGCUUGAGCUGUGGCUCUCUCCGCAAAGAGCAACAAAGAGAGGAUGAAGAACAACCGAAAGGCUUGCGACUGGGUGUUGGUUGGAGAUCUUGACACCACCAUCUUCCCUCCCUUUGAUGGAGAAAACUCAACCUAACCCCUGCAGAGGCUCUUGCUGGCAUCAUGUCCUGUUUCUUAUAAGAAGGUGGGGGAAAGGUUCUACCUCUCUUAAUUUACAACUUGUUUGGGAGAUGCAAGUGGAGCCAUAUUUUUUAAGCACACCGAUGAAGAGUGGUCGGUUUUGUUUGUAUCAAGUGCAUUCAGAUCCAUGGUCCCAAGCAGGAGUGCUGAUUAU